AGAACAUGAGACAUAGUAUCUCUUUGAGGGUGUUGACAGCAAUGACAUCUAGAAGGAAGACUAAUUUUCAUUCUUUGCACCACCUCAUUAAUAGGUAUUAUGAACUUCCAUGCCCUUCAUAGUGUGAAGGUCAUCUGAAAGGGCAAUUUGUUGAUCCACAUAUUCUUGAAUAUCUCCUGUUUCUCAUCCUUUUGUUUGAUAUAUUGCCA
rnacentral:misc_RNA from 1 species